rnacentral:pre_miRNA from 1 species
GGAAGUUAAGAAACUGUUUAUUAACUUUUAACUAAAAAAGCUAAGAACCGGUUCUUAAAUAAAGACUUUAAGAACCGGUUCUUAGCUUUUUUAGUUAAAAGAUAAGAAACAGUUUCUUAACUUUC